GUGCCCGUAGCUCAGCCGGAUAGAGCGUUUGGCUUCGAACCAAAAGGUCGGGAGUUCGAGUCUCUCCGGGCACGCCA
rnacentral:tRNA from 3 species